AGCUUUGCACAGUGGCAGUGUCGUAGCCAAUGAAGUUAAUCUGAGGCACAAUUACUAUUUGUUGAAAACUUUUACUUACCAUACGCUGCGAUUACUGUAUAUUUUGAAAUAGA
ensembl:snRNA U4 U4 spliceosomal RNA